rnacentral:lncRNA from 1 species
GGUGCAGUUCGUUGGCCGUGGCCAGACACGAGAAUCCCACGGACGUGGAAAUCUCAGUAGGGUUACGAAUUGAGAUUAAAGCAGCAGGCUUUUGAAAGCAAGAGGAACUCGGGCCCCAACAGAGAGAUGGCCCAGUGGGAGCCAUGUGGCCAAGAGAUGGAGCAAGUGAGAUCAACUGCAUGACCUGGCCCUGCUGAAAGAUGGUCAGUGUCAUCGUGGCGCGAAUCCAACAGCUGCUUCCUCUUUAAUGGGCAGUGAUGGAGAACUUCUCCUGAGUUCAAACAUGACGAAGAUCUUCCCUUCUCACCUCUUCUAGUCAACACACCCGGGAGUUUCCAACCAGCAAAACCAGACGAGAAAAAUAAGUUUAAGGCAUGUGCACAGGAAGGAAAAGGUGAAGAGCCUCAGGAGACGGGGUCAUGUGUUCAAGUCUCCAUAUAAGCACAUGCUGGGCUGUGAUUUCUGUGGCUGACGCUAGGUGGCGAGGGUGUCAGCGUGGUUCCGUAUCGUAUAGAGGACUUGCUUGGAGACU